GCUUCCUACACCGGCUGCCCCAAGGAUAUAACACAGGGAGUAUUCCAGUUCUUCAGAUACCAAUCUAUAACCAAGAAGGCUCUUGCAAAAGAAUGGCACUGUAUGGAAUUUCCCAGCUCCAUCUUGCAGAAAAGAAUUCUGGGAAGCUUCCUGGGCUGUAUAUGCAGCUGACCACAAACCUGGUGAAAAGACUGAAGGGUGCAGGUUCUCAUGCUGCUUCUCGAGCCAAAUCUCUCAACCUUCAUACCUGCUAAUGGCUUACAUAAGAAGCUGAAAAUUUAUCGCGUGUAUUCACAAUGUGGAACACCUGUUUUGUUGUACAUCAUAAGUGACAAAUUCUUUUUAAUCAUAAACUUCUGUUUUAAAUAACUGUACCUUUUUUUUUU